CAGUGUUAUCCCAUUUUCAAGUACUUUGAGAAUUGGUGCCAAGAUGAGAAUAGACACGGUGAUUUCUUUUCUGCCUUGUUAAAGGCACAACCUCAAUUCCUCAAUGAUUGGAAGGCUAAGUUGUGGUCUCGCUUCUUCUGCUUAUCGGUAAUUUUGCAUAUACACUGUAAACUUCCCUUAUUUUCUUUUAAUAGCUAGUGUUAAUUUUGGAUCCUAAUUUAAUUCUAAUGCUCUUUUGAUGAAGUGAAAACUAAUGUCUAGGUCCUGUUUGCCGCUUCACCAGUUAACAUAAGAUGGAUAAUUCUCUCAUCUUACAUCUCUGAGAAUUUAUAUUGCAGGUCUAUGUGACAAUGUACCUCAAUGAUUGCCAGCGGACAGCUUUCUAUGAAGGCAUUGGAUUGAAUACCAAAGAAUUUGAUAUGCAUGUUAUCAUUGAGGUGAGUUUUAGAUUGCCUGGAGCAUAGGUUAUAUACUAAUGCAUCAAGUUAUUUGCUCAUUUGCUUGCCUUCUCAAACUUACUUAAGUUGAUAUGUGACACAAGCAGUUGUCUUCAACUAUAGAUUGUCAAUAGUUAUCCAAAUUUUUUAGAUUCUUGGAACUGAUUCCUGACUGUUAACUGAAAUUUUCUGUAUGUAGAC
rnacentral:lncRNA from 1 species